UACGUAGGGUGCAAGCGUUAAUCGGAAUUACUGGGCGUAAAGCGUGCGUAGACGGUUAUUUAAGUCAGGUGUGAAAGCCCCCGGGCUCAACCUGGGAAUUGCAUUUGAGACUGAAUAGCUAGGGUGCGGAAGAGGGAAGCGGAAUUUCCGGUGUAGCGGUGAAAUGCGUAGAUAUCGGAAGGAACACCAGUGGCGAAAGCGGCUUCCUGGUCCAGCACCGACGUCAGGCACGAAAGCGUGGGGAGCAAACAGG
rnacentral:rRNA from 1 species